UACAGAGGUGGCAAGCGUUGUUCGGAAUUACUGGGCGUAAAGGGCGCGUAGGCGGUCUUCUAAGUCUUGUGUGAAAUCCCUCGGCUUAACUGAGGAACUGCACGGGAUACUGGAUGACUUGAGUUCGGGAGAGGGAAGCGGAAUUCCGGGUGUAGCGGUGAAAUGCGCAGAUAUCAGGAGGAACACCGGUGGCGAAGGCGGGUCUCUGGGCCGAUACUGACGCUGAGGAGCGAAAGCGUGGGGAGCGAACAGG
rnacentral:rRNA from 1 species